GGGUGGCUCACCUCAGGUAUUUGCACUGCUCUCACGUCCCAGGAAGGUGUUUUCAGCUUUGGGACACGUUGGGUUCCUGAUUGAGCUCGAGAGCAUCCUCUGGCUGCUGCUGCUUCCUGACCCUUUAAAUCAGUUCUGCUUCCAGGUACAUUGACGCUGAUCCAUUGAUCUUCCCCUCAGCUUCCUGCUGCACUACACAAAAUUCCUUUUGGAGUUCUUAUAGGCAUCUUCCUGGCUUCUUAGGAGAAGACCCAGCAACUGAGCUGUGGCAAACUGGGCAUUUUCAGCUCUCCUGACCUCAGUUGCUGGUUCCCCAGUCCUGCCUGUGCCUAACAGGCUUGCAGUGUGUCCCAGAGCACCUCUGGACCCCAGGUGGGCUGAGGUCAGGAUUUCCUUCUUGGGAAGUAUUGCAGAACUCCAUGGUGUGCAGCAGAUAACUGAAUCCAACAGGUCCCUGCAGCUGACAGCGGUGAGGCAGCUGGAGAGAGACAGCUAAAGCUCUCUGUGCAUCCACACAGGCUCAUCUUACUGGUGGCAUUCUGCCCA
rnacentral:lncRNA from 1 species